CUACCCGGGUAUCUAAUCCUGUUUGCUCCCCACGCUUUCGCGCCUCAGCGUCAGUUUUCGUCCAGAAAGUCGCCUUCGCCACCGGUGUUCUUCCUAAUCUCUACGCAUUUCACCGCUACACUAGGAAUUCCACUUUCCUCUCCGAUACUCCAGCUUCCCAGUUUCCAUCCCAUCACGGGGUUAAGCCCCGCACUUUUAAGAUGGACUUAGGAAGCCGCCUGCGCGCGCUUUACGCCCAAUAAUUCCGGACAACGCUUGCCACCUACGUAUUACCGCGGCUGCUGGCAC
rnacentral:rRNA from 1 species